UACGUAGGGGGGCAAGCGUUGUCCGGAUUUAUUGGGCGUAAAGAGCUCGUAGGUGGUUCGGUAAGUCGGAUGUGAAUCUCCAGGCUCAACCUGGAGGGGUCAUUCGAUACUGCCGUGACUAGAGUUCGGUAGGGGAGUGUGGAAUUCCUGGUGGAGCGGUGAAAUGCGCAGAUAUCAGGAGGAACACCCGUAGCGAAGGCGGCACUCUGGGCCGAUACUGACACUGAGGAGCGAAAGCGUGGGGAGCGAACAGG
rnacentral:rRNA from 1 species